CUCCUUUGCCUACCUUCUGAUUCCCCUAUCAGCUUCAUCUUUUUCACUCUUUGUUGUUGUUGCCUCCAUGGAUUUCUUUUUCCAUGUUUUCCCCUUUCCUUAUCUUUCUAUUGCCAUUCCUUCUAGCUUUCCUGAUAGUAGUUCUACUAGUCUAUCAAUGAUUGGAGAAAGGGUAAUUUCAUUUUAGGGUUUGUUUCAGUUAAAGCAAGUAUCAACUCUACAUUUUUUAAAUCUCCCUCUUAUUAUCAGUUUUGAUAGACAUAUAUAUAUUGGUUAACAAAGAUCAAAGAAGCAAAAAUAGACACACCCAUAAAUCAAAAACAGAGUUUUUCCAGAGAGAUUUUUCUGGAUUCACGAAUUAAAAACACUGAAAUGGGGUGUUUUUGCAUGAACAGACAAAUCUUUUUUUGUUGUAUCAUUUUUUUUUUUUUUUUUUUUUUUUUUUUUUUUUUUGAACAACUGUUUUUUUGCUGUAUUUGUGCUUGCAAAAUUUAUUCUCAAACAAAGUCCUUUAUUGCAUAGACUCACUGGAAGAACAUUUUUAACAUUACUGUCAUUCUUUUUAAGGAACUUUUUCUUUAAGCAUAUGGAUCUCUCUAUCUAUGCUUUUGGCCACCAGGUUCUUGAUUUUAUGCCUGAACCAUUGCAAACUAACAACACUUAGUUAAUAAACUUCUAAAAAUAUGCACCAAUUAUAUAAGUUAUUUCCAGCAACUUUGAUUGAUCCUUACUUUGAUGUUCGGAUUGGUCUUAAUGUUUGAAAUAAUUUUUUAUUUUUAUCUUUAUUUUAAUAUUGCUUGUACUCCAAUUGAUUACUUGAAUUAGGUUUCAAAUGACUGUUCUCAUUAAGGAAGAAAGUUGGUAAUUGAAUUCUUCUUUGUAUUUUCAAUCAUGUUUUCAUUAUUCUUGACUGUAAGAAAAAUGCUUAUCGACACUUCAGAAUUUGAUGUUCAAUGUUCUCUUUUAAACCUAUACUUUUGCUUUUCUGUUUUAUUUUGUCUUAAUCCCAUUGAAGUGGUUCUAUUUUCUUAUUGACAGCUCUUUUGCAGUUUUAGUUGCUUCAGUUGUUCCUUUACGAUUGCAAAUGAUUGUGAUUUUCAUGUUUUGGAAGUCAAACUUUGUUGUUAGCUUGCUAACUUGCUAGAUACUUGUGAAAAAACACAAAGAUUGCAGCAAUGUUUGUGCCACAUGGGCUUAAUAGAUUUGUCAUUUACCAUGAAUGGUUUCACUAAUAAUCUACAUUUAUUGAUAAGCCAAUUACACACGACACACAUUGAAUUUGUGGUGUUUUCAAAAUAAGUUUAUUUAUCUGUGGGUACAACCUGAUUGUUCACCAAAAACACAAAAUGGAAUGAGGGCUUUGGGGUUUAGAUUUAAAUUCUCUACCCUCUGCCUAGGAAGUCUUCAAGAUUUUAAGUUCAAAUCUUUAGCCAAUAAUAUAUUGUUGGUGUCAAUGGGUGAAAUCCUAUUUAUUGAGAGGCCACAGUUUCUGGGAAGUUAAAGUCCCUAGUAACCCCUCUUGGGUGUGGAGGAAACUCCUGUCUUUGAGGGAGUCUCUGUUUCCUUUAAUUAAGUGCAAAAUUGGCAAUGGUGAAGGGACAUUUUUAUGGUAUGAUAACUGACACCCUCUUGGAUCUUUAUGGUCCAAGUAUGGCAAUAGACUGAUGUAUGACACUGCCUUAAAUGGCCAGUCUAAAGCGGCCUCUGUUGUGGGGGUUAGAGGUUGGAAUUGGCCCAAUGCUUCUUCCUGGGAGGUAAGGGAGAUCAUUGCCCACACUCCUCCUGAUCUUACACCUUCCAUUGGGUGUAAUGAUAGAAGUAUCUGGCUUCCUCAAAAUGAUGGGAAUUUUAGCAUUGGAUCUGCCUGGAACUCUUGGAGAUUAAAAUGGCCCACUGAUAAAUAGGCUAAUCUUGUGUGGAGUCCUUACUCUAUUCCUAGAGUUGGUUUCAUUGUUUGGAUGGCUGUUCUGGGAAGAUUGAAUACUGGAGAUAGACUUGCUAUAUUUGGCCUUAAUCCUAACCAUGUUUGGCCUUUGUGUGGGGUACAUGGGGAAGACCAUGACCACCUGUUCUUCAAAUGCCUCUUCUCCUGUAAGGUGUGGGUUGCUAUGUUGUCCAAAUGCAAUACCAAUUGGCUGAGCAACAAAUGGCUGGGACUUGUUGAGGUUGUGGCUAGAGAUUGCACGGGAAAAUCCCUUGCUACAAUUAUCAAAAGAUUAGCUUUCUGCUGCACUGUGUACCAGAGUUGGUUAGAAAGAAAUAAUAGAAUUUUCAGCUAGGAAAAGAAACCUGAAGAGGUUGUCCUGAAGAAUAUUAUUUGCAUGGUCAGAUAUAGAGCUCUUGCUCUGACCAACAUUAAGAAAUCUCAGACUGAUAAUUGGUUCCUACAGGAGUGGAGGUUGCCUUCAACUAUCCUUAAAAGUUGGGGGGAGUGUCUUCGAAUGUGGGUUGAGUAAAGGGAGCAUAAUAUUAAGGGUUGAGAGUGGUGAGUUCCUAUAGUGAGAUAUAUGCAUUUAUUGUACUGUUUAAUGUAUUUUUUUUGUAUGCAGGUAUGGUAUGAGGAAGUCUUGCAUUGAGGGAUGUGAGUUCACCAUAAGUGGGUUGAGUGAUGGUAGCCAAAUAUUGAGUGCUAAUGUUUUAUUAAUUGUUUACCUGAAGGUUUUGGCCACUGGAUGGUACUGGGGUAGGGGAUGUUGUUGGUGAGGGUUGAGUUAUGUGAGGCAAAUAUUGUUGAAGUAGUUUUUUUUUCUCACUCAUUAUACCAUGAUUUUAACCAAGCCCCUAACACUGUUAUUCUUUGUUGAGGUUACUCUAAUCUGUGUUGGGAUAAGAAGUCACAUGGACAACAACUUUGUUCUGGCCAGCUGGAGGCUUCUGGGAGUGAUGGAGACACAAAGACCAGGUUGCGCUGUUGCGCCAGUCUAAGUGGAAAAUCUCCAAAUGGAAAAUACUGUCUUUCGUUUAAAUAUUGUUGUGUAGGGAAAUAUUAUCUUUGGGUGGGAACUAUAUGCAUGUGCUGCUAUGGAAAACAUAACAAGGAUAGGUUUGUUCUUUUUGUGUGCUGCUGAGCAUGGUUUAUGGAGGCAAGCUUGUUUGCUAGCUAGACAUACACUGCUGCUGCUAUUGAAGGAUGAUUCAGGUGCAAUGUCUGUACUCUCUUGGGAUAUGCUGCCCUGGUGCUUGCUGUUUUGGAGUUAUAUGAGCGGGGAGCUUGAUGGCAGCGCUUUAUUUUGUGACGUGAUACUGAUGCUGAUGCUGAUGUUUGGGUUUUUGAACUUGUUCAUUCUCCCUAUUUUAAGUUUAAAUAUGGACAUUGAACAGGUUGUAUGGUCCAACCUCUUUAUUUUGUCUCCUAGUUUCAGUUAGUAUAGUAUAUUUGUAACUGUUAUGUUUUAGUUGGUUUAUUCUGUAUAGCUUUGGUAGGACGUCGGGUAUGCCCCUUAGAAACUUAUAAAUUUUCUUGUUUUAUCUUAUGACUUAUUCACCAAAAAAAAAAAAUACACAUGCACUAACGCUAUAUUUGUUAUAUUUUUAAAUCCUGGUGGUAUCUAAAUUUAUAUCUUUUUAUACAUGUGCAGAUUGAGGAUCCACUUGCAGACUUUGCAGAUUGAGGGGAGUUAGGUGGAUCAUAUAGAUAAUGCACAUGCUUUUUGGAACUUUUAUUUUGACACUUGUGUUUUGAGACAAAUAUUUUGGAACUAGUUGCUACAUUUGCAGAUUGAAGGGAGCUAAAUGGGCCAUCUUGACGAUGCACAAGCUUUUUGGGACUUUCUAUUUUGGCACUUGUGUUUUGAGACGAACAUUUUGGAGCUAGUUGCUGCAUUUGUAGAUUGAGGAAGCUAGAUAGACCAUGUAGAUGAUGCACAUACUUUUUAACACUUUAAUUUUGGCACUUUGUUUUGAGACAAAUAUUUUGGAACUAUAAUUGUUAUAAGUGACAUGUA